UGAGCUUGAAUCCUGGCUCAGGACGAACGCUGGCGGUAUGCCUAAUACAUGCAAGUCGAACGCUGAAGCACUCUGCUUGCAGAGUGCGGAUGAGUGGCGAACGGGUGAGUAACACGUGGGUAACCUGCCCAUAAGAGGGGGAUAACAUCCGGAAACGGGUGCUAAUACCGCAUAGGUGAACGGAGCGCAUGCUCUGUUCAUUAAAGGUGGCCUUGCGCUACCGCUUAUGGAUGGACCCGCGGCGUAUUAGCUAGUUGGUGAGGUAAUGGCUCACCAAGGCGAUGAUACGUAGCCGACCUGAGAGGGUGAUCGGCCACACUGGGACUGAGACACGGCCCAGACUCCUACGGGAGGCAGCAGUAGGGAAUCUUCCACAAUGGGCGAAAGCCUGAUGGAGCAAUACCGCGUGAGUGAAGAAGGUCUUCGGAUCGUAAAGCUCUGUUGUUAGAGAAGAACACGCAGAACAG
rnacentral:rRNA from 2 species